rnacentral:lncRNA from 12 species
GCGGUAUUUAUUUUGAGACCUAAAUACGGUCCUCGAUAGCCACAACCAAAGAGGGACAGCGCCGAGCCUGGGGUUGGCGCCGGGUGAACACACAAUGAUCUGAUCUCUAUCGCAUCAGAUCCCCCCAAUGUUCACAAAACCCCCUUGGUUUGCCCAGUUUUUAUACAGUUUUUUUUUUUUUUUUGCCUGGAGCAGAGGUCUUUGUCUUUUUUCGCCGCCCCGCAUAUUCAUGUGGUUUUCUUUCUCUGCUUAGGGCCGGACAAAACCAUAUUCUGGGAGACGAGGAAUUCUGAUGAAGGCAGGUCCAGGUUUACGGGAAGCUGGUACUGAGAUGUAUUUUUCCCGGUGGCUCUGGUUAUUUUAAUCGGCAUUCAGAUGUAUUUUUUCCCGAUGGCUCUGGUUAUUUUAAUCGCGGGUGCUUGCCGGGCUCUCAUCGUUUGGGUGUUCCCUGGACAGUUCCUGAAGGAGCCAUCUCCGAGGCUGUGUCUAUUUAAUGUUAAUUAACUCUGUCUAUUAGUUAACUCUGUCUAUUUAAUGGUUAAUCUGGGCUGCCCUGCUUUUGUCGGGUGUUACAAUGCUGUGAUGAGGCAAUCUGUGCCCUUUUCGUCCGCGGUCCUCUUUUUGGUUUCUGAGCUUUCUUCAUUAUUUUAUUCAUACAAACAUUGCUUAUUCUACAUUCUCGUAUAACUUUACACGAAUUACAUUGCCCUCACAGGGAGUCGCUUUCCCACAUCGCCCCGGGGUGGGGCGGGCAGGGCCGGGCUCCAUUGGCCGCCUGUGGGGCGGAGCGGAGCGGGCAGGGCAGGGCAGGGCUCCAUUGGCCGCCUGUGGAGCGGAGUGGGCAGGGCUCGGCUCCAUUGGCCGCCUGUGGGGCGGAGCGGAGCGGGCAGGGCAGGGCAGGGCUCCAUUGGCCGCCUGUGGAGCGGAGUGGGCAGGGCUCGGCUCCAUUGGCCGCCUGUGGGGCGGAGCGGAGCGGGUCGGGCUCCAUUGGCCGCCUGUGGGGCGGAGCGGAGCGGGUCGGGCUCCAUUGGCCGCCUGUGGGGCGGAGCGGAGCGGGUCGGGCUCCAUUGGCCGCCUGUGGGGCGGAGCGGAGCGGGUCGGGCUGUGCCGUGAGGGGGAGUGAAGUGGAAUGGGACGGGACAAGGCAGGCAGGGCUGAGCCGGGUUCCCGGUGUGACCGCUCGCUGUGCCCUUGUUUCCGCAGUGUUGGUCGCCAGGGCUCCCCGGAAGGCGCUGGGCUGCAGCAGCACCAACGCGGGGCCGCCGCUGCCCGACAGGAGAGGUGCCGGGCGCCCCGUGCGGCUGAACCGGGUGUGUGUGAGGCCGGUGCCCGCCUGGCAAAGGGGCAUCAGCGACUUCCUGAAGCUCCCUCCCAAGGAGAACCGGCUCCCCGACGGAGCCACGCCCGGGACCAGCGGCCUGGAAGCUCGGCCCCUACCACUGGAUCCCGCUGAAGAUGGAGAGUGCUUGGAGGAAGACUGAUGUGAUCUGACCUUGGUUUUCAUGUUAAAAUGCCCCUUCUACUUGAGCUGGGUUUUGUGCAUUUGUAUAGUUUUUUACAAUUUUUAUGGCCAUGAGCACUGGAGAAAUUAAUUAUUUUUUACUGUUUGGCACUUAAUGUUCAUUGUAAACCACUGGUUUUUAUCUUGGUUUGCUUGAGUUCCUCCAGCAUGUUGGGCAGCUUUUGUCUUUCGUCUUCUGACUGCCUUGUGCUUGUCCAAGACUUGCAUGAUCAUGGUUGUUCUGUUUUUUGAAAAGCAGAUCCUCAUUUUUUUAAUAAACUAAAGCCUUCUGACCACACACCUAUGUUGUGUCUUGUAGUAAGAGGUGUUAAUGAAAAUUUUUUUGUCCAAAGAUGGGAAACUGAAUUUGGAAAGACACUGGAGAGGUGUGUGGACAGCUGAAACUUGCUCUGAUUAGAGGUGAAGUUUAUUUAAGACAAACUGGUUGUUCUAAAGGAUCAGAACUCUGAAAGCUGG